ACAAAAAAAAACAUUAUCAUUAAACUACUUCCUGCUGUGUGAGGGUGUUGAAGUCCAUGGGGCAAGCAUGAUCUUCACCAUCAGGGCAUGUUCAGGGGUUGUAGGUCUCUGGUCCCUGUAGUUUGGUGGAGAAGCAGGGUUAGGGAGAGUAGUGUCCAACUCCAUACAGGACCAUCAGUGAUCCAUCAGCCAGAGAGGCACUGAACUGUUGUUUACAUUUUUGAACAUCUGUCAGGAGUUGUCAGUUCUUUACUAUAGCUAACUGGCUGACAUAGAAACAUCAUUCCUCCCUGUGGAGGAGGCAGAGGUCACUCUUCUCCACUGUUGGUAGAUCUAAGCUCAUCAAUUUCUCUCUAAUGGUUUUUAAGUUGUUUGCAUGGAAACGAGAAUUUUUCUUAAAGCCAGACAACAGCUUGUGUGUGUAGCCUCCCCCAGCCUUGAGCAGGCUGACUCAGACCUGUUCUUUAAGGAGACUUUAAGGAGACCACCUAGGGUGGAGUCUUCCGACCUAGAUGGGUCUAUUGUUCUAUCACCUGCGCUGUUCUCCAAGACGCUACCUGCUGAGAGUCUGAACCUGCCUUCCUGAGAAAUUCCUGAGGUAACUGACAACCUGGCUACUGACAACUUACUGCCAACAAGUGCUGUCAGACUAAUUGCUCUUGAUGCCUUAUUGCCAGCAUGGCAGGGGCUGGGCUUUCCCCCUUUAUAAGCACAGACUCUUAGUAAACAUUGGGCCUUGAUCAGAAAAAUUUGUCUUGGUCUCUUCUUUCCCGUUAUUUGGUUUUAACAGGCACCUUUUCUGUGGUGAUUUGAAUAUGCUAUGGCCCAUAUUUGAAUAUGUGGCAAUAUUAGGAGGUGUGGCCUUGUUGAAGAAAGUGUGUCACUGUGGGUAUGGGCAUAGGAAUCUUGUCCUAUCUGUCUAGAAGCAAGUCUUCUCCUAG
rnacentral:lncRNA from 1 species